GACGAACGCUGGCGGCGUGCCUAAUACAUGCAAGUCGAACGCAGUGGGGACGGGUGAGUAACACGUGGGUAACCUCCCAUCAGAGGGGAUAACACUUGGAAACAGGUGCUAAACCGAUACUGAUGGAUGGACCCGCGGGGCAUUAGCUAGUUGGUGGGGUAACGGCUAACCAAGGCCACGAUGCAUAGCUGGCGUGAGAGGGUGAUCGGCCACACUGGAACUGAGACACGGCCCAGAGUCCUACGGGAGGCAGCAGUAGGGAAUCUUGGGCAAUGGACGAAAGGCUGACCGAGCAACGCCGCGUGAGUGAAGAAGGUUUUCGGAUCGUAAAGCUCUGUUGGUAGAGAAGCGUUAUCUAACCAGAAAGCCCCGGCUAACUCCGUGCCAGCCGCCGCGGUAAUAC
rnacentral:rRNA from 1 species